rnacentral:rRNA from 1 species
AACGCGAAGAACCUUACCUGGGCUUGACAUGUAAUGAACAACAUGUGAAAGCAUGCGACUCUUCGGAGGCGUUACACAGGUGCUGCAUGGCCGUCGUCAGCUCGUGUCGUGAGAUGUUUGGUUAAGUCCAGCAACGAGCGCAACCCCUGUUGCCAGUUACCAGCACGUGAAGGUGGGGACUCUGGCGAGACUGCCCAGAUCAACUGGGAGGAAGGUGGGGACGACGUCAGGUCAGUAUGGCCCUUAUGCCCAGGGCUGCACACGUACUACAAUGCCCAGUACAGAGGGGGCCGAAGCCGCGAGGCGGAGGAAAUCCUAAAAACUGGGCCCAGUUCGGACUGUAGGCUGCAACCCGCCUACACGAAGCCGGAAUCGCUAGUAAUGGCGCAUCACGU